rnacentral:rRNA from 1 species
UCGUUAACGAACGAGACCUCGACCUGCUAAAUAGUUUAACAAAAGGUUCUCCUUUUGAUAUAGACUUCUUAGAGGGACUAUCGGUGUGUAGCCGACGGAAGUUCGAGGCAAUAACAGGUCUGUGAUGCCCUUAGAUGUUCUGGGCCGCACGCGCGCUACACUGAUACAUGCAUCGAGUAUACAACCUAUACUGAUAAGUAUGGGUAAUCUUCGCAACAUGUAUCGUGCUGGGGAUAGAUGAUUGUAAUUAUUCAUCUUCAACGAGGAAUUCCUAGUAAACGCAAGUCAUCAACUUGCAUUGAUUACGUCCCUGCCCUUUGUACACACCGCCCGUCGCUAAUACCGAUUGAAUGGAUA